GAUGAACGCUGGCGGCGUGCCUAACACAUGCAAGUCGAGCGAGAAGUAAAGAAAUGAAGCUUCGGUAGAUUUUCAUUAUGGAAAGCGGCGGACGGGUGAGUAACGCGUAGGCAACCUGCCCUGUACAGGGGGAUAGCCACCCGAAAAGGUGAUUAAUACCCCAUGAUGCAAGAGAUACACAUGUAUCACUUGUCAAAGAUUUAUCGGUAUGGGAUGGGCCUGCGUCUGAUUAGCUAGUUGGUAGGGUAACGGCUUACCAAGGCAACGAUCAGUAGCCGACCUGAGAGGGUGAUCGGCCACAUUGGAACUGAGACACGGUCCAAACUCCUACGGGAGGCAGCAGUGGGGAAUAUUGCACAAUGGGGGAAACCCUGAUGCAGCAACGCCGCGUGAAGGAAGAAGGCCUUCGGGUUGUAAACUUCUGUCCUAGGGGAAGAAACAAACGACAUUACCCUUGGAGGAAGCCCCGGCUAACUACGUGCCAGCAGCCGCGGUAAUACGUAGGGGGCGAGCGUUAUCCGGAAUUAUUGGGCGUAAAGAGUGCGUAGGUGGCAUCUUAAGCGCAGGGUUUAAGGCAAUGGCUCAACCAUUGUUCGCCUUGCGAACUGGGGUGCUUGAGUGCAGGAGGGGAAAGUGGAAUUCCUAGUGUAGCGGUGAAAUGCGUAGAUAUUAGGAGGAACACCAGUGGCGAAGGCGACUUUCUGGACUGUUACUGACACUGAGGCACGAAAGCGUGGGGAGCAAACAGGAUUAGAUACCCUGGUAGUCCACGCCGUAAACGAUGAGCACUAGGUGUCGGGGUCGCAAGACUUCGGUGCCGCAGUUAACGCAUUAAGUGCUCCGCCUGGGGAGUACGCACGCAAGUGUAAAACUCAAAGGAAUUGACGGGGACCCGCACAAGCAGCGGAGCAUGUGGUUUAAUUCGAAGCAACGCGAAGAACCUUACCAGGACUUGACAUCCUCUUGACAGAUCCUUAAUCGGAUUCUUCUUCGGACAAGAGAGACAGG
rnacentral:rRNA from 1 species